rnacentral:rRNA from 1 species
AUUGAACGCUGGCGGCAUGCUUUACACAUGCAAGUCGAGCGGCAGCGCGGGGGCAACCCUGGCGGCGAGCGGCGAACGGGUGAGUAAUGCAUCGGAACGUAUCCUCGAGUGGGGGAUAACCCAGCGAAAGUUGGGCUAAUACCGCAUGAGCUCUGAGGAGGAAAGCGGGGGACCUGCGAGGGCCUCGCGCUGGAGGGGCGGCCGAUGUCCGAUUAGCUAGUUGGUGGGGUAAAGGCUUACCAAGGCGACGAUCGGUAGCUGGUCUGAGAGGAUGAUCAGCCACACUGGGACUGAGACACGGCCCAGACUCCUACGGGAGGCAGCAGUGGGGAAUUUUGGACAAUGGGGGCAACCCUGAUCCAGCCAUGCCGCGUGAGUGAAGAAGGCCUUCGGGUUGUAAAGCUCUUUCGGACGGAACGAAAUGGGCGGGACUAAUACUCCUGUCUGAUGACGGUACCGUAAGAAGAAGCACCGGCUAACUACGUG